rfam:Metarhizium album ARSEF 1941 scaffold_6, whole genome shotgun sequence.
UCCGAUGUGGUGUAGUGGCUAUCAUACUGCGCUUUCAAGCUCGGCGACUUGGGAGUGCCGCAGGGAUCGGGGUUCGAUUCCCCGCAUCGGAG